rnacentral:rRNA from 1 species
AUUGAACGCUGGCGGCAGGCCUAACACAUGCAAGUCGGGCGCCCGGCGGACUGGUGAGUACUGUAUUGGGAUCUGCCUGCUGGCUGGGGAUAACUACUGGCACCGUUAGCUAAUCCCGCCUUCCAUCAGCUGAACCCAUAUGGGAUUAGCUUGUAGGUGAGGUAACGGCUCACCUAGGGGACGAGCCCUAGCUGGUCUGAGAGGAGGAUCAGACACACUGGGACGGAGACACGGACCAGACUCCUACGGGAGGCAGCAGUGGGGAAUAUUGCACAAUGGGCGCAAGCCUGAUGCAGCCAUGCCGCGUGUAUGAAGAAGGCCGUCGGGUUGUAAAGUACUUUCAGUCGGGAGGCGUUACCGACAGAAGAAGCACCGGCUAACUCCGUGCCAGCAGCCGCGGUAAUUC